UACGUAGGGAGCAAGCGUUGUUCGGAAUGACUGGGCGUAAAGGGUGCGUAGGCGGUUAUACAAGUUAGAAGUGAAAUACCCAGGGCUUAACUCGGGUGCUGCUUCUAAAACUGUAAGACUUGAGUGCAGUAGAGGUUAGUGGAAUUCCUAGUGUAGCGGUGGAAUGCGUAGAUAUUAGGAGGAACACCAGAGGCGAAGGCGGCUAACUGGACUGCAACUGACGCUGAGGCACGAAAGUGUGGGGAGCAAAC
rnacentral:rRNA from 1 species